ACAACGCCAUUUUAUUUGUGACAGUUGAUCUACGUAGUCGUAUAUCGCUGUCACGCCUAGCGGCCUAGCCGCCUAGGUGCCACAAUGGUGGCUUACCACGGACUAGGGUAGACUUCUAUCUUUGUCCGUGGUAACCUAUCUAAUUUUUCAUGAAGUAUCAUACCAUAGACCGCUAUCCAUAAGAAAAAGAUGUAGAUCAGAGAACAAUUAUUUCAAACAAGCACACUGGUCGUCAGAGCGCCGCCAUGACAGAUCCGUUGUCCACGUGGAUUUUUACUUAUCGAUCACGUCGAACGGACCGAUCACCCGCUAUGAAUACUGCCGCAUCGUGUGUCACGUUUGACUGUGCGUAACAUAAAAUGGAUCAUGGACGUUGUUGUCACAGCGGUGUUCCCGCGGUUUGUGGAAGUACGCGAUUCUACGGACGUUUUUAUGAAGUGAUAUCUGCGCAAAAGAAGUGAUGAUCACUCUACGAGUACAAUGCGUCAUAGGUACUAUGAUGUAUUCAGCCUACAUGUCUUUUCCUCAUUGUGGAUACACGUUUAAAGAAUGAAAGCAGUUCGGAGUACUUCCAUAAGACGCGGGAACAGUGUUGGAUGAGGACAUCUAUUAUUUAUUUUACUUCAGUUACUCAUCGAUCAAACAUAGCCAUUCGAAGCAGCAAUAUCCAUAGUGGGAGACCGGACCAAUUGACUGGUCCUAAGAGUAUGCAAAUAUUAAUGAUAAUCUUAACAUUAUAUAAAUAAUAUAUUUUUUUAA